AUAUCUCUCCGUACGGGAAGGAUGAGAAGCUUCGACUAAGGUUCGAUUCGAGCGAAAGCGAGAAAGCGUUGCCAACGGCAACGACCCGAAGG
rnacentral:sRNA from 1 species